ACGAACGCUGGCGGCAUGCCUAACACCUGCCAGUCGAACGCGACCUUCGGGUCUAGUGGCGCACGGGUGCGUAACGCGUGGGAACCUGCCCUUAGGUUCGGAAUAACUCCCCGAAAGGGGUGCUAAUACCGGAUAAUGUCUUCGGACCAAAGAUUUAUCGCCUUUGGAUGGGCCCGCGUUGGAUUAGCUAGUUGGUAGGGUAAAAGCCUACCAAGGCGACGAUCCAUAGCUGGUCUGAGAGGAUGAUCAGCCACACUGGGACUGAGACACGGCCCAGACUCCUACGGGAGGCAGCAGUGGGGAAUGUUGGACAAUGGGCGAAAGCCUGAUCCAGCAAUGCCGCGUGAGUGAUGAAGGCCUUAGGGUUGUAAAGCUCUUUUACCCGGGAUGAUAAUGACAGUACCGGGAGAAUAAGCUCCGGCUAACUCCGUG
rnacentral:rRNA from 1 species